UAAAUACUCUUAGUUUUUGUACAUUAUUGUCACUAAAUUUUAUUCUUGUAAAAGUAAUUUGUUUCACGCCGUUGUAUGUAAGAUUUUCUGUAGACCUUCAUUCUAGAAAUAUCCUGUUGUACGAGCCUCGUAUUUAGUACAUUAAAAGAUGUAACACAAAGAAAAAACUAUUUGCGUGUAAGAUAAAGAUAUAAGGCCACUAAGCGCAGAUUCUCAUUGGCUGGAAGAGAUCACGUGGUCCACUGAAUAACAGUAUAUAAAUCGCCGUUCUGUCUGAUUCAAUAUCAGAUAUUUCCCCAGCGAAACAUCAGACUCUUACUUAACAUGGGCAAGGAAAGGACCAGCGUCAACAUGGCCGUCGUCGGCUACUACUAGACCCUCCAUCAGCAGAUGGACGGAUAGUACAACACGGAAUUGACCCGGCUUCUGUACAUGGACACGCUCUGGACACGGACAACACGAUCUCUCCCGGAUCACACCUCAUUCUAUUUGUAGGCCUACAUUGACCAAAUAAAUCAAAAUUUACCGAU